GCCGGGGUGGCGGAAUUGGUAGACGCGCUAGAUUCAGGUUCUAGUGUUCGAAAGAACAUGCGAGUUCGAGUCUCGCCCUCGGCACCA
rnacentral:tRNA from 1 species